rnacentral:rRNA from 1 species
GGUAACAGGUCUUCGGAUGCUGACGAGUGGCGGACGGGUGAGUAACGCGUAGGAAUCUGCCCAUCUGUGGGGGAUACCAGUUGGAAACGACUGUUAAUACCGCAUAAUAUCUGCGGAUUAAAGGUGGCCUUUGCGCUGCCGCAGAUGGAUGAGCCUGCGUUGGAUUAGCUAGUUGGUGGGGUAAGGGCCUACCAAGGCUACGAUCCAUAGCUGAUUUGAGAGGAUGAUCAGCCACAUUGGGACUGAGACACGGCCCAAACUCCUACGGGAGGCAGCAGUGGGGAAUAUUGGACAAUGGGGGAAACCCUGAUCCAGCAAUGCCAUGUGUGUGAAGAAGGCUCUAGGGUUGUAAAGCACUUUAGUUGGGGAGGAAAGCCUGUGAGUUAAUAGCUUGCAGGAAGGACGUUGCCCAAAGAAUAAGGACCGGCUAACUCCGUGCCAGCAGCCGCGGUAAUACGGGGGGUCCGAGCGUUAAUCGGAAUUACUGGGCGUAAAGGGUCUGUAGGUGGUUUGUUAAGUCAGAUGUGAAAGCCCAGGGCUCAACCUUGGAACUGCAUUUGAUACUGACAAACUAGAGUAUGGUAGAGGAAUAGGGAACUUCUGGUGUAGCGGUGAAAUGCGUAGAGAUCAGAAGGAACACCAAUGGCGAAGGCAACAUUCUGGACCAAUACUGACACUGAGGGACGAAAGCGUGGGGAUCAAACAGGAUUAGAUACCCUGGUAGUCCACGCUGUAAACGAUGAGUACUAGCUGUUGGAUUCGGUGUAAAGGAUCUAGUGGCGCAGCUAACGCGUUAAGUACUCCGCCUGGGGACUACGGCCGCAAGGCUAAAACUCAAAGGAAUUGACGGGGACCCGCACAAGCGGUGGAGCAUGUGGUUUAAUUCGAUGCAACGCGAAGAACCUUACCUGGUCUUGACAUCCUGCGAACUUUCUAGAGAUAGAUUGGUGCCUUCGGGAACGCAGUGACAGGUGCUGCACGGCUGUCGUCAGCUCGUGUUGUGAAAUGUUGGGUUAAGUCCCGCAACGAGCGCAACCCCUAUUGAUAGUUACCAUCAUUAAGUUGGGUACUCUAUUGAGACUGCCGCUGACAAGGCGGAGGAAGGUGGGGACGACGUCAAGUCAUCAUGGCCCUUACGACCAGGGCUACACACGUGCUACAAUGGGUAUUACAGAGGGCUGCGAAGGUGCGAGCUGGAGCGAAACUCAGAAAGGUACUCUUAGUCCGGAUUGCAGUCUGCAACUCGACUGCAUGAAGUCGGAAUCGCUAGUAAUCGCAGGUCAGAAUACUGCGGUGAAUACGUUCCCGGGUCUUGUACACACCGCCCGUCACACCAUGGGAGUGGGUUGCUCCAGAAGUAGAUAGCUUAACGAAUGGGCGUUUACCACGGAGUGAUUCAUAACUGGGGUGAAGUCGUAACAAGGUAGCCGUAGGGGAACCUGCGGCUGGAUCACCUCCUUA